CCUACGGGUGGCAGCAGUAGGGAAUCUUCCACAAUGGGCGAAAGCCUGAUGGAGCAAAGCCGCGUGGGGGAAGAAGGUCUUCGGAUCGUAAAACCCUGUUGAUAGAGAAGAAAGUGCGUGAGAGUAACUGUUCACGUGUCGACGGUAUCUAACCAGAAAGCCACGGCGAACUACGUGCCAGCAGCCGCGGUAAUACGUAGGUGGCAAGCGUUAUCCGGAUGGAUUGGGCGUAAAGGGAACGCAAGCGGUCUUUUAAGUCUGAUGUGAAAUCCUUCGGCUUAACCGGGGUAGUGCAUUGCAAACUGGGAGACUUGAGUGCAGAAGAGGAGGGUGGAACUCCAUGUGUAGCGGUGAAAUGCGUAGAUAUAUGGAAGAACACCAGUGGCGAAGGCGGCUCUCUGGUCUGUAACUGACGCUGAGGUUCGAAAGCGUGGGUAGCAAACAGGAUUAGAUACCCUUGUAGUC
rnacentral:rRNA from 1 species